rnacentral:lncRNA from 1 species
UCCGCGGGCCUACCCCGCCCGUACGGUACAGCUGGCCCAGUGACGCGGACGCAGCCGCCGCCGCCGCAGCUACGACCGCCGCGUUCUAUUCUCCUCAGCCGGCGACAGCCUUGCCUCCUGCCUCCCGCCUCCUCCUCCUCCUCCCGCCGCGCCAGCCAGACCGGCACGCUGGGCCUCGCUUAGAACCCGGAGGGCUGCGGGCGCGCGCAGGCGGCGGAGCAGAUCCCGGCGCCGCGGAGGCUGCGAGCGCCCCCCUCCCGGAGGUCGCCGCGCUGUUCCCCGGGUAAUGCAUGCACGAGGUACAACACUCAAGGAGACUAAAAGGGAAUACCUACAGUGAAAAAUGAGUUUCCUUUCCUGUUAAACACUCAGUUCCCUUCCCUGAAGGCAAUCGUUAGCUAUCAGUUUCGUGUGCAUAAUACCAGAGAGAGAUUUUCAGUGCAUGU